rnacentral:lncRNA from 1 species
GCCAAGGCCAAGUCUCGGUUGUCUCAUGCCAGCAGCCUGUAGUUCCCGGUGGGGCUUGUGCACCCACUGCUGCGCAAGGGCAGCUGCUUGCAGUGUAUGGGUGCAGGUGUCCCCGGGUACAUGGCAGCCAUGCUGGAGCACCUGACGGCCAGCUGAGAUCCUGGAGCUGGCUAUCAGCAAGGACGAGGAGCUUAAGAAGCUGCUGGGCAAAGUGAGGCUUGCGCAGGGCGGUGUCCUGCUCAACAUCCAGCUGCUGCUGCCCCCCCCCCCAAAGACAGAGCUACCCUAAGGUGAAGGGCAAGUGA